CAACUGAAAAAGUUAGAAUUAUAAAAUAUUUGUUGGGAGAGCUCAAGGCCCUGGUGGCAGAACAAGAGGAUUCAGAAAUUCAGAGGUUGAUUACAGAAAUGGAGGCAUGUAUAUCUGUACUUCCAACAGUAAGUGGAAACACAGAUAUUCAAGUUGAGAUAGCACUGGCCAUGCAACCAUUAAGAAGUGAGAAUGCUCAGUUACGAAGGCAGUUGAGAAUUUUAAACCAGCAACUCAGAGAACAACAGAAAACUCAAAAACCAUCUGGUGCUGUGGAUUGCAACCUUGAAUGUAGGUAAAAGAACUUUAAGGAUUGAUAAAUUAUUUGUGGCUCUGGAAAUGUUGAUAAAGAAUUGAGCUUUUGUAAUUACCUUGAGGGGAUAAAUUUAAAAUAUUGUAGAAACAUAAGAAAAUAAAAGAUGCUAUCACUUCCCAAUAA
rnacentral:sRNA from 1 species